ACGACAUGCUAGGGGUGUCUGCGGUCACAGCAGGCUGAGAGCAAACCCUUAGAACCUGAACCAGAUCAUGCUGGCGCAGGGAAGCUGUCUAGAGAGGAU
rnacentral:ncRNA from 2 species